GACGAACGCUGGCGGCGUGCCUAAUACAUGCAAGUCGAACGCAGUGGGGACGGGUGAGUAACCCGUGGGUAACCUCCCAUCAGAGGGGAAAACACUUGGAAACAGGUGCUAAACCGAUAGUGAUGGAUGAACCGGCGGGGGAUUAGCUAGUUGGGGAGGUAACGGCUGACCAAGGCCACGAUGCCUAGCUGGCCUGAGAGGGUGAUCGGCCACACUGGGACUGAGACACGGCCCAGACUCCUACGGGAGGCAGCAGUAGGGAAUCUUCCGCAAUGGACGCAAGUCUGACCGAGCAACGCCGCGUGAGUGAAGAAGGUUUUCGGAUCGUAAAGCUCUGUCGUUAGGGAGGCGGUAUCGAACCAGAAAGCAACGGCUAACUACGUGCCAGCAGCCGCGGUAAUAC
rnacentral:rRNA from 1 species